AUGCUGUGGUCUCUUGUCUUGCUCCUAGCUAUCCUGACUCCUGGAAGUCAGAAAACUUCCAACAUGGAAAUGAGACAGAAGUCAAUCAUCAGGCCAACUGGGGGAUCUCUCGUAAUCACUUGUGAUUUUCAGAACACCCUGUAUGUCCACUGGUACCGAUACCAAGAGGGAAGAGCCCUGCAACGGUUCCUUUACUACAACUUCCACAACUCAAAAGUGAUGUUGGAUUCAGGGUUCAGUUCCGGGAAAUACCAUGCUUAUGAAGAUGCAAGGAAGAGCUGUGUAUUUGUACUCAGUAAUCUGGAAAAAAGCGAUUCUGGUGUAUAUUACUGUGCCACUUGGGACCAACCUCGUACGAAGAAAACCUUCGGCAGUGGAACAAAACUGGUUGUCACAGAUAAAAACAGUGAAAAUUCUUCCCCCAAGCCCACAAUUUUUCUUCCUUCAACUGCUGAAGUAACCCUUCACAAUGCUGGGACGUAUCUUUGUCUUCUUGAGAAAUUCUUCCCUGAUGCAAUUCAAGUAGAUUGGAAAGAAAAGGACAGCAAUAAGAUUCUUAAAUCCCAACAAGGAGAGACAAUAAACACUGAUGACACGUUCAUGAAGUUCAGCUGGCUGACCGUGACUGGAAAGUCGAUGGAGAAAGAACAUCAAUGUUUGGUCAAACAUGAGCACAUUAUGGAAACUGAGAAAAAAAUCAUUUGCAUGAAAUGGAUAUUGGUGUUUAUAAGAGAAAAACAAAGUCUUUUCUUGCUUUGGAAAGGCUCUAGUACUACUAAAUCUGAGAAAACGUGUUUGAAAGAUGAAAGUGAUACCCUGAGACUGCAGCUCACCACCACCUCUGCGUUUUACACCUACCUCCUCCUCCUUCUCAAGAGUGCAAUCUACUUGGUCAUUGUGGCGUUCUAUCUGUUUAGAAGAACUGCAGUCUGUGGCCACGGAAAGAGCUCCUAA